AUCAGAGCUAGAUCUGAACCAUCCCUAGUCUCUUUCAUUGACCCAGCCAUGGAAGAAGACAAAACAGAAGUCUCACCCACAAAGACUGACAUAAAUCUUGCCGGCUCAAUCGAAGGCACUGGACUUCUCACCACUGGCCACAAGUUGAAUGGCCAAAACCACUUUCAAUGGGAUAGGUCAAAACCAUUCUGCAACAGGGACAUCAGAGGCAAUGCAACACACAACCCACAAGAAAUGGAAGAGAAACAGGAUCCAUCUCCAUUCAGCAAAGAACAAAUAGAGGCUCUAAAAAAACUCUGGCAGAUUGUUCUUACUGCAAAAAAUAUGGUAUAGCUUCAGCAGCACAAAAAGGUAAUUUCCUAAAUGCUUUACAUACUAGCAUAGGAAAACCAAAAUUAUGGAUCAUAGAUUUAGGAGCCUUAGAUCACAUGACCGGAUAUAUAACAAUAUUUGACAAUUAUUCUCCCUGCCAUGAUAACUCCUCUAUUCGGAUUGUUGAUGGCACCUUGUCACAGGUUACUGGUACAGGUUCUGUAAUUACUUCAAAAAAUAUUACUCUUAAUUAUGUACUGCAUGUGUCCAAACUUGAUUGCAACUUGCUAUCUAUUAGCAAACUAACUAGAGACUUGAGAUGUGUCGCUAAAUUCUUUCCCAAUCUGUGUGAAUUUCAAAAUUUGGAGUCGGGAAAGACAAUUGGUAGUGCUAAAUAGUGUGUUAGACUUUACUACUUGCAAGUUGAAGAUCCCUCCAAAGAACUCAAAGCCAAUUCUUGUGCAGUGGUUUCUCCAAAUAGUGACAAGUCUAUAAUGUUGUGGCACUAUCGAUUAGGUCACCUAAAUCUCAGGUACUUAGAGAAAUUGUUUCCCUCAUUAUUCAGUAAAAACCUAAUGAACUUUCAAUGUGAAGUAUGUUCGUUAUCCAAGCAUACCCGAAACACAUACUCACCUAAACCAUAUAAACCCUCUCAACCCUUCUCCUUAAUUCACACUAAUGUAUGGGGGCCAUCACGGGUUAGCAACAUUACUGGAGCUAAAUGGUUUAUUACAUUCAUCGAUGAUCAGACAAGAGUCACAUGGAUAUUUCUCAUGAAAGAGAAAUCAAAAGUUGGAAAAUUAUUUGAGUUUUUCCACACCAUGGUGCAAACACAAUUCCAAACAAAAAUUAAGGUGCUCAGAACCGACAAUGGAUGUGAAUACUUUAGUUCAGCACUAGAGUCCUACCUUAAGAUCCAUGGAAUUGUCCACCAGAGUUCAUGUGUAGAUACCCUCCAACAAAACGGGGUCGCAAAAAGGAAAAAUAGGCAUCUACUGGAAGUAACAAGAUCUCUCAUGUUAGCCACAAAUGUACAAAACAUUUUCGGGGAGAAGUUGUCCUUUCAAAAAUAGGAUGCCUUCCCGCAUCCUCAAUUUUGACACACCCUACUCCACUCUCCAAACUAUUUUCCAACCAGCAGAGUUCUCACCACUAUCUCAUUUAAAAUCUUUGGAUGUUCAGCCUUUGUUCACAACUUUAAUCCUCUCAGCAACAAACUUGACCCAAAAUCUAUCAAAUGUAUUUUUCUUGGCUACUCACCUCACCAAAUAGGAUAUAAGUGUUACUCCCCGACAACCAGAAAAUUUUACCACACUAUAGAUGUGACCUUUGAGAAUCAACCUUAUUACUCCAAAGUUGGAAUUUAGGGGGAGAAUACCAUAAUCCCGAAAGAAACAACAAAAUUUCAAUUUUUGGGUUUUGAGAUGGUCGAACAAACUGCAGCAGCAGAAACAGAAAAUCCUGCACCUACAGAAUCAGCCGAAUCCGUAAAUUCUACAACAGCAGAACCAAUAAAUUCCACACCAACAAUACCAAUAAAUUCCACACCAAUAGAACCAGAAAAUCCCACCAAACCAUUUGAACUUGUCCUUGAAACUGCACUAGUAGAAAGUAUUGCACAAGAAGCUGAUUGGAAAAUUUACACUAGGAGGAAGAAAAACAAUUUGGUGGAAGAGUAAAAAAUUGCUCCGGUGCAAAGUCAUGAAUCUAACCAGGCUCUAGAAAAUGGAAUCUCUGCAGGUAAUACUUUCUAACUCAAAAUCUGUCCAUACGAGUUCAACUGACAUCGAUGUUCCUAUUUGUCAAAAUCUGUUUCUGUUUAAUAUCCCUCAAGUAUAGGGAUUCAGUUGAAUGGGAGUACUGGUAGGGAUUUAGUUAUAUAUGAGUACUAAUAGGAUUUGGUUGUUUAGUAAUCUAGUAUAUAUAUAUAUAAUACAAACCAAAUUAAAAUAUAUAAAGUUUAUCCUAAUUUAUUAAAAUAUGAAUCAUCUUCAUGGUCUUGAGAUCCUUAUCACUUUCUAGCAACCAGCCACGACGCUACAGUUGCUCUCAAAAGCACCGCUUUCACUAUGUGUUUUUUUCCAAUGACUUUUUUUUUUCUUUCUGUUCUUGAUCUGUCCAUUCAUCAAUCACCUGUUUGAAGUUAGUGAAUGCAACGUCAUCUUCACCGGUAAAAGGGAUGCCAACAGAUGAUUUCAUACGCUGCAACAAAUUUCUAUUCUCAACUAGAACUCUCUGAGCUUUAUCAAUCAAAUCCUGCUUGGCAGCAAGAAGCUAAUGGCACUGCUCUAUGAAGCUUGUGUCUAGGAUCAAAAAGGUUCAGGAAGAUAGUUCAACCUUCAAACUGCAACAUCGAAUCAAAUUACUACCUAGGAGCCAAGAAAAAUUCAACACCAACUGAAUUUUCUAGUGUGCAUCCAAAGUCAACAAACACCGCCGCAAUCCACCGCGCGUCCAUCUUCUCUAUGUAUGGGUCUUACGCACCUCCACCAAAUUCGUGCGUGAGAAUGCAUGCACCUGUCUUCGGCCCCCCUCUGCAGGUCUUUUCAUGAUGUGAUGUACUGGUCGUGCCUUUAUCUCCAUGAAGCAUGCCGCUCUCUCCUUGAAACAUAUUGAAGUUUAAAUAUUUUGAGUCUCCAAUAUUAUUGUUUUGAAGCUUCCAAAUGCAGUCUUUUAGAAGAGCGAAGCUUGCUUUGUUCAAUUGCUUGCCAUGAAUUUCCCUCAAAAUGAUAAUCAAUCAGGCUAUCUGGCUAGGCUAUAUUUAUAGCAAUUCUCUCCGACUUCAAAUGCAUCCCUGAGUUGCCUUUCCAUCUUUUUUAUUAUUUUGUGGAGCAAAACAUUGUUUUCUUGUAGCAAGCUAAAGUUAAGCUUUAGCUUGAGGGGGAGUGUUGUACCAUUGCCGUCGUUUUUUCGUAGAUUGUAAAUAAGAGAAACUUGUUGUUUUUUGUUUUUCAUCCAUGGCGGGAGAAGGAGUAGUGAUUCAUAAUGGAACCGAGACUGAAACAGGAAAUAAAAAAUUCCAAGCCGAAUUGCAAAACCUCUCAUACUUUCACAAGUUGAAUGGGAAGAACUAUUUGAAGUGGUCUCAAAUUGUGCGCACGUUUUUGAAAGGUAAAGGGAUGGCAGAAUACUUAACAUAUGAACCCCCAAAAGAAACAGAUCCCAAAUUUAAGAGGUGGGAUAAAGCGCAUACCGCCUUCAUUGCGGUUUAUAUUUUCAUUAAACCUUAGCCACCUUCAUUGUGGCCCUUUUUGCUUGCUUCAUUGUAGCAACGUGAGAUUUCUUUUUGCCUUUUUCCUGCCUUCAUUGCACCAACUUGAGAUUUUUUUAUACUUAUUUGCUUCCGCAUAAACCUACCACCUUCAUUGCGGUUUCUAUUUCUUAGCCACCUUCAUUACAGUUCCGUUUUCAUUGCAGUUUCUAUUUCUUAGCCACCUUCAUUGUGGCCUUUUUUGUUGCCUUCAUUGCAACAACUUGAGAUUUCUUUUUUUCCUCAUUUGCAAUCCAUAUAACUCCUCGCAUGACAACCUUGCAGAUCUUCUAACUAAAGGGCUAAACAGUAGAACUUUGAAAGAAUUGUAUUCAAGCUGGGAAUGGAGAACACCUAUUCACCAGCUUGAGGGGGAGUGCCAAAUCUGUUUCUGUUUAAUAUCCCUCAAGUAUAGGGAUUCAGUUGAAUAGUAGUAGUAGGGAUUUAGUUAUAUAUGAGUACAAUAGGAUUUUGUUGUUUAGUAAUCUAGUAUAUAUAUAUAUAUAUAUAUAAUGUAUUGCCAAGAUAAUUCAAUUCAAUGAAUAUAAUUUUACUUUAAUUCUUGAGACUAUUGUAUUGAGAAAAGGGAAGAGAACUUGUACUCAACAUCCAAUUGAAAGAUUUGUGUCAUAUGGGAAACUAUCACAAAAAUAUUGGGCAUUUGUAGCAGCACUUAAUAACACAUAUAUUCCAAGAAAUGUUCAAGAAGCCCUUCAACAACCUAAGUGGACAGCAACUGUAGCAGAAGAGGUUCAUGCAUUGAUUAAAAAUAACACCUGGGAAAUUACUGCUUUACCAGAAGGAAAAAAGCAAGUUGGAUGUAAGUGGAUAUUCUCUAUCAAAUACAAUGUUGAUGGGAGCAUAAACCGGUACAAGGCUCGAGUAGCAAAGGGAUUCACCCAAUCAUAUGGCAUAGACUAUGAAGAGACAUUUGCUCCGGCGACCAAACUUAACUCAGUACGAGUCAUACUAUCCGUGGCUGCAAACUUGGAUUGGCCACUACACCAACUAGAUAUUAAGAAUGCCUUCCUAAGUGGUGAGUUAGAAAAGGAAGUAUACAUGCAAAUUCCCCCAGGACUUGAAUCAUCCAGCACCUUAAACAAGGUGUGCAAGCUCCGAAAAUCCUUGUAUCGUCUCAAGCAAUCCAAGAGUGUGGCUUGAAAGAUUGACUCGAGUUGUCAAAGAAGAAGGAUUCAUACAAGGCCAAUCAGAUCACACUAUGUCAAACACUCCUUUGAAGGCAAGGUAACUUUAUUCAUUGUGUAUGUUGAUGACAUCAUUAUCACAAGUGAUGAUCAUGAGCAAAUCAAACAGUUGAAAGAACUCUUGGCUAGGGAGUUUGAAGUCAGACUUGGGGCAACUCAAGUAUUUUUUAGGGAUGGAAGUAGCUCGCUCAAAGGAGGGAAUAUAUGUUUCUCAAAUAAAAUACACCCUAGACUUACUCCAAGAAACUGGAAUGCUUGGGUGUAAGGCUUCCAAUACUCCUAUGGAAUCAGUAAGUAGAAGCAACUUCGAAGAAGAUCUUCUAACUGACAAACAUAGGUACCAAAGUCUAGUUGAGAAACUAAUAUACUUAACUCAUACUCGACCUGAUAUUGGAUUUGUCGUCAGCAUGGCAAGUCGCUACAUGACAAGUCCGACUGAAGUUCACUUGAGAGUUGUAAAUAGAAUCCUACAAUACCUUAAGGGUACACCAGGUAGAGGUCUUCACUUCAUCCCUCAAUCUACACCGACUCAGAUUGGGUUGGAUGUACAUCAAACAGAAAGUCAACUACCGGCUAUUGCUCUUUUGUGUGGGGAAACAUGGUCACUUGGAGAAGUAAGAAACAGUCUGUGGUAGCUAGAAGCAGUGCAUAACCUAAAUUCAAAGCCAUGGCACAGGGCAUCUGUGAAGGGAUAUGGCUGAAGAAGAUAUUGGAUGAAAUCAAAGUUCCAACCUUUACAUCAUGAGGUUAUAUUGUGACAACAAAGCUGCCAUCAGCAUCGCAAAGAACCCGAUUCACCAUGAUAGAACAAAACAUGUGGAAAUUGACCGACAUUUCAUAAAGGAGAAAAUUGAUAAUGGUACUAUAAGUAUUGAUCAUGUACCAUCGUGCAAUCAAACAGCAGACAUCCUAACAAAAGCUCUCCCAAGAAAUACAUAUGAAAAUAUAAGAUCCAAUUUGGGCAUGAUAGAUAUCUACCACCCAGAUUGAGGGGGAGUGUUUAUUAUGAGAUCAAAAAUAAGAAUCAUAAGACUCUGAUUUGUAUAGUUAUUAGUAUGUAUUAAUUAGAAUCAUACACAAUAUGUAUUAAUUUUUAUUUCCUUUUAGGACAACAUUUAUAGGGAAUCAGUUUCCUAAUUACCAGCUCUUUUAUGAUCAUACACAGCUAAAUUACUUGUACUAUUUAUACUCUUUAUGUAAUCAGUUUCAUUAUCAAGUGAAUAAACAAUCGCUUUUUCGCAAAGACUUUCUAGUAAAUAAAAGCAAUAUAAAAAACUAAAGCAUAGAAAACUCAUGAACAAGAACUUGUAAAAAUUAAUGAACUGAAGGAGGGAGAAAAAUGUAAUAAAUCAUUAAAGUUGUAGUGAAGGAAUUAUGGUACCUCUAGGCGUCAAUACAAGUCACUUGCAGAAAGGACUAACACUGUGAGAUUGAAAUUGAACAGUGUUGCAG
rnacentral:lncRNA from 1 species